GCGCUCAUUUUGGCAGCACAUAUACUAAAAUUGGAAUGAUAACAGAGAUUAGCAUGGCCCCCGUACAACGAUUACAUGCAAAUUUGUGAAGCGCUCCAUAUUUUU